CAUGCUGAAUUAUUUAGCCGUGUUGUGGAAAACACGGGAGCGCGAGCACCUGUUUGUUGUUGUUUUGCUCUCUGUUGCCCACACGCACGAGCGCCGGAUCAAAGUCGUCGGGAUGGUAAAAUGAUUGGGUUUCGGCUUUGAUAACCUUCACAGAACUGCACACGAGAUUCCCUUCAUAUGACUUUAACGCAACACCUAUAAAAUCACUAUGAUAUAAAAACUAGAAGGUUACCAGGGAGUGUUAUUUAUGUAUAUUCUCAGUCUACACUAUGCGGAUGCUUGAAUAUUUUUUUUUCGCUUAUUUGCGAAGGGGCAGUUGCGCAAAGUUGAGCCACUAGGAGGAGCUCAAAUUUCCAGAAAACUUUAUUUGUGGAUGAAUUAUUUUGUUUGGCUUUUUGUCUGCCAGUCAACUGCACGGCAAUCCAAUCGUUUGUGAUGCCGAGGACACGCGCUUCCGUCUCGCGCUUCGUGCCGCUUAUAUACUCCGCCACCUCGCCGUGGGCACGAGCGCCUCUCCUAAUGUUUACAGCCGUGUGGAACAUUUCGCAGCGUGGACUCAACUGCACACUACGUCGCCCACGGCAAAACCGGGCCGAUGGCCCAGCCUUCUUAAAGGAGCAGGGGGAACGCGGAGAGAGCGGCUCCCGGGCCGAGCCGUGUGAGAGCCCUCAGCCGAGCGAAUUGGACGUGUUUUAUAGGGCAGCGUUCGCGGUGCCGAAUAUCCGUUUGGCUUACCAGUCAAGGUCGCCUGUGUUCAGAACCCUCUCCAGGUCGUCCAGUGGAUAUUUUUCGUUCGACAGUGAACCGAGUUCUCCGCUAAUCACCCAUAGCACCGCCACUCAGACCCCGAGUCCGUCUAGUCAAGUGAUAACUCACGCCCUGCAGCGCAUUUCAGAAGCGCGAGGCGACGCGCACAAUCAUGGAAAACUUUAUCUUCUGGCAGUCAAAAUAAUCUUUUGUGAAGCCCAGACACGAGAGCCAACCAUCUCUGUUUUCUGCUAUAGAAAGAUGGCAACCAGGAACAAGAUAAAGACAACAGGAAAAAGAAUUAUGGUCUGCUCUCCAUAACCACUAUCUACCCCACGGAGCAGCAUCUGCGGGGGACAUGCAAGCGGAGCGAGAGAUUGCGCGAGAGUUGCGGCGCAUCGGCGAUGAAUUUAACCAGCUUUAUUUUCGUGAGGCAGAAAGAAACGGCGGCGUGGCCCCUCAACAGGCCCAGAACGAGCCGGCCAUCGUGGUGUGGAUGGGGCUCCUGAUUGGUCGGCUGUUACAGUACUUCCUGAGACAAAGAUGAUGGACAGAGAGAGCACCCAGCAGACAAGUAGCACCAGACUGUAGAUAUGUAAAUACACAGCGUCAGAAACUGCUCUCUCUCGCUCUCUCUCUCGCUCUCUCUCUCUCUCUCUCUCUCUCGCUCUCUCUCUUUCUAUGAGAGCACCUGAUUAUAUAUCAACUGAAAGCAGACGACUUUGACAUUCCCUGUCCAGAAUUAGGAUGUGCUGGUAUUGGGUGGGGAAUUCUGGGAUUUAACUUGGAUUCAUGGACAGCUAUGUUUCCUGCAUGAACAUGAAAAGCUGAGCCAUUAAAACACUGGGUUGAGAAGGGUGGCGAGACCUCUCUCUCUCUCUCCCUCUCUCUCACUUUCCCUCUGUCUCCCUCUCUCUCUCUGUCUGUCUGUCUCUCUCACUCUCAUCUCUCUCUUCUCUCUCUCUCUCUCUGGAGGGUGUUUUUGUAAAGACAUUUGGAAUGGAUGUGCCUUCAUGGCCUCAGUGCUUUAGUCUUUCACCCUCGGUGCCUGUUUUCCGUUUCUUUUGUUUUUUUUUCUUUUGCUUGUUUGUUUUUAAAUUGUGUAUAUCUUUUUAUCUGCCUUUUGUUCUGUAUUUAUUUGCCACUGUUAUAUUUAAGUUGUGUUUUGUUUUCUUGUUUAAAAUGGAAGUGGAUUAGUUAGCGGUAAUGUUGCAGUUCUGCCUACCCCGUUUUUUUUACUGACUUGCUCUUUACCGAAAUUUGCACUUCUGUUCAAAUCGUAUCCACAAGACGUUACACAGAAUGUUCCGGAUAAUCAUUUAUUGCCUGAAGAUCUCGGUGGAAACAAGGAAACAUGCGACUGGUUAUCAGAGGCUUAUGAGAGCUGUAGAAACGGAGCCACCUUCUGGCUGAGGGACAGCCGGCCCUUAGUACGGUGCGAUUUUCACACUGUUAUUCUCCAGAGAACCCUUUCACGCUUUGAGGCCAAGUGACCUAAUACUGUCGAAGCACAACACCAACCCUCACGGAGCAGCCUUUAAUGAAAAUGAAUGAAAGUGAGCAAGAGAGUUUUUUUUACACAGUGACGAGACUUUAAAGUGAUUUUGAUGAAAUUUUUAUUUUUAAACAAAUGAAUAAUUUUAAUUGUUUAAAAUUGGACCUAUGGUGAAAUGUAAUGAAUGAACGGUUUUAUUAAUACACGUGGUUGUUCAGGUGUGGUUGCAUUGGCCGUUUCAUCGUGGGUGGUACGUCCACACAGUGUGUGUGAGUGUGUGUGAGAUUAAAGCUAUUCAGCGGAUUUUCAAGCGGUUUUAUUUUCUUGCUGACCCAGAAGAGCCUUAAUCACGAGUCUAGAGUCAACCUUGAUGUAAUGAUGUUAUAAAAAUAGCCUCAGUGACUGUAGAGUUUAAAACACUCGGCUUCCUUCACGAUUCAGUUGAUGGCAUUAACGUGCAUCUCCACAAACCGUUGAUUAUGCAUUGCUAUUUCCCCAGUAUUGCAUCGAGACCUACAUUAUUGGCACUUAACAACUGAUACGAUAAUUAUGUUAAAUAUGUUAACUGAUGUUAAUAGACAUCCAGAUGAAUCAACUGAUUUGUGUCAUUGAUUUUUUGUUUUGUUUUGUUUUUUAAUCAUUCCUUUCAUUCCCAGUGAAAUUUCUCGUCACAAGCGGUAUUUAGCUUGUCUUAACUGUUUCAGGUUUAGCAAUCAAACCAAAGAACGUUUUUCGACAUACUGUAACAGUUGAAUUUUGUAUUAUGUUCUUUGAUAUGUUUGCCUUGUGUACAAUCAACCAUAUAAAGAUCGGAAUACAAUCAAUCUCCCGGUAUCAGAAAUGUCAUAUAGUCCAUGUUCAAAUAUUUGUGCACCUUCCUCCCUACUUUUUUUCCACCAAACAAACAGAAGAUCAUUUACAGGUCGAUCUGCAUUCCAGUUCACUGGCUUUUUAACCAGAUUCAGUCUCAUUACCUGCAAAUUAACUGAUCCACCUCACAGACCCAGUACAUUUGUAGCACAAUGUCUGUCUUUGAUUCUUUUUUUUUUUUUAAUUUGUUGAUUGCACUGAAUCUUUGCUCUGCUGACCUUGUGCAAUACUGCUGUAAAUAAAAGCUUCUUUUUCAUCUUUCUAAA